AGCCUUUGACAUCCCGGUCGCGGUUACCAGAGAUGGUUUCCUUCAGUUCGGCUGGACCGGUGACAGGUGCUGCAUGGCUGUCGUCAGCUCGUGUCGUGAGAUGUUGGGUUAAGUCCCGCAACGAGCGCAACCCUCGUCCUUAGUUGCCAUCAUUUAGUUGGGAACUCUAAGGAAACCGCCGGUGAUAAGCCGGAGGAAGGUGGGGAUGACGUCAAGUCCUCAUGGCCCUUACAGGCUGGGCUACACACGUGCUACAAUGGCGGUGACAGUGGGCAGCUAUCCCGCAAGGGUGAGCUAAUCUCCAAAAGCCGUCUCAGUUCGGAUUGUCCUCUGCAACUCGAGGGCAUGAAGGCGGAAUCGCUAGUAAUCGCGGAUCAGCAUGCCGCGGUGAAUACGUUCCCAGGCC
rnacentral:rRNA from 1 species